rnacentral:misc_RNA from 1 species
CCCUAUCUCUCGCUUCCACGCCAAUGCCCCAAUUCUUCACCCUCCAUCCAAACUCUCCGCCCGCCAUAAUCUCAUCACCACCCGUUCUUCCGCCGCCGACCACCCUCUNNUCACCUUUCUCCGAAUUGCUGCUACUUCUGCCAUCCUAUUCUUGGGCUUAACCGUUGGUGUCUCCCAGGCAGCAGCUUCCACUCCUUUUCUCCAUCCUCUGCCCUCUAAGUCGCCGGAAAUUUCAGUCACUCAAGAUGGUGAUGAUGCUGAUGACAAUUCUAAAAAUG